GUCUGCGCCUGCGCGAGAAGGCCCGGGACAAACGCGAGGGGGCGUGUCCUCUCUCCAAGCCAAGAACCGUUGCCAGGGGGUAGCCCUGUUGCUAAGGGGUGGCAACAGAGCUCAGACCCUGAAAGGAAAAAAAAAAGGUUCUGGGCCUUCAAUGCUGCCCCUCCUCAUUUCUGCCUUUGGUCUUCCCUUCGGGGCUCCUCCCGAUGCCAGUUACUCCACACGGCCCUUGCACAGCCCCUGUAUUUGCUUCUCUACAAACUGUGUCCCCGCAGGAGAACGGAAGCUCCCUUUGACCAGGCAGGGACUCUCUCUCACGGCUGUCCUCUGCUCUAGCACAGUGCUGGGCACUCACAAAUCCUUGUUCUUGAUUGGCUCCCACACAAGAGAAAAGGCAUCUCUUCCCUGCUAAGACAGGGCUGAUUGCAUUUUGGGCCAAGGGCCGCCCAGCACCUCCUGGGCUUUUCUCAAAGAAAGUCUUCCAGCCGCACGCACAGCCUAAAACAAGCUUUCCUGCAGAUUGUUCACCAUCUUCUCCCUUUGGGUCUAAGCCGCCAAGUCCCAAAGAAGCUGCUGCUUUCCUGUGAAGGAUCCCCGACUGAUGUCUGCGACCGGCGUUGACACGCAGACGUCUGUCCUUUUGAUGGUGGCACAUAUGGCACAUAUUUCUUGGCCACUUGAGUAAGAGAAGAUCCGGCGUCCCGUGACUUGUUGUUGUUCAAUAAAAUCGUCGCCUUCUGAGGGGUGACAAGCCCAA